rnacentral:rRNA from 1 species
CACGUAGGGCGCAAGCGUUGUCCGGAAUUAUUGGGCGUAAAGAGCUCGUAGGCGGUCUGUUGCGUCCGCUGUGAAAACUCGGGGCUUAACCCCGAGCCUGCAGUGGAUACGGGCAGACUAGAGGUAGGUAGGGGAGACUGGAAUUCCUGGUGUAGCGGUGAAAUGCGCAGAUAUCAGGAGGAACACCGGUGGCGAAGGCGAGUCCCUGGACAACUCCUGACGCUGAGGCACGAAAGCUAGGGGAGCAAACAGG